GCAAACUUGGUCAUUUAGAGGAAGUAAAAGUCGUAACAAGGUUUCCGUAGGUGAACCUGCGGAAGGAUCAUUACAAAAUAUAAUGUAAAUCCUUCGUGCACGCGUUAGCGUGUGCGAAACCACUCUGUGUGAAUAGUACACAUGUAUACUUUGGCAGGUCUUUUGAGUUUGUAGGUAAGUGAGUGAGUGGGUUAUACUACUACUACUAUUACUUAUAAGCUCUUGGCCCUUUGUGGAGACCUGCCAAAGUCCAUUGCUUAAUAAACCUUUUUAUAUAAGAAAUUUUCAAUACUACAUAAUAUAAAAUAUAAUACAACUUUCAGCAACGGAUCUCUUGGCUCUCGCAUCGAUGAAGAACGCAGC
rnacentral:misc_RNA from 1 species